UACGAAGGGGGCUAGCGUUGUUCGGAAUUACUGGGCGUAAAGCGCACGUAGGCGGAUAUUUAAGUCAGGGGUGAAAUCCCGGGGCUCAACCCCGGAACUGCCUUUGAUACUGGGUAUCUCGAGUCCGAGAGAGGUGAGUGGAAUUCCGAGUGUAGAGGUGAAAUUCGUAGAUAUUCGGAGGAACACCAGUGGCGAAGGCGGCUCACUGGCUCGGUACUGACGCUGAGGUGCGAAAGCUAGGGGAGCAAACGGG
rnacentral:rRNA from 1 species